rnacentral:rRNA from 1 species
UGGCGCACGGGUGCGUAACGCGUGGGAAUCUGCCCUUAGGUUCGGAAUAACUCAGGGAAACUUGAGCUAAUACCGGAUAAUGACUUCGGUCCAAAGAUUUAUUGCCUAUGGAUGAGCCCGCGUCGGAUUAGCUGGUUGGUGAGGUAAAGGCUCACCAAGGCGACGAUCCGUAGCUGGUCUGAGAGGAUGAUCAGCCACACUGGGACUGAGACACGGCCCAG